rnacentral:rRNA from 1 species
UACAGAGGGUGCGAGCGUUAAUCGGAAUUACUGGGCGUAAAGCGCGCGUAGGCGGCUUUUCAAGUCGAUUGUGAAAUCCCCGGGCUUAACCUGGGAACUGCAGUCGAGACUGUCUAGCUAGAGUAUGGGAGAGGGAAGUGGAAUUUCAGGUGUAGCGGUGAAAUGCGAUAGAUACAGAGGGAGAACUGCCGUUGCGGGUGUGAG